UAAAAUGUAUUGUUUAAAGAAGCUCAGACAUUUCUAUCUGAUAUCAUCUUCCUGCCAGCUGCAGAAUAGGAUUUACAGCAGAUUAACCUUUUUUGUAGGCCAUUCACACAUUGAAUUUGACAUGGAUUUUGAAUAGGAUCCUGUUCUGAAAUCUGUGUCAAAUCUGAUGACAAUCUACGUCUAAUGCAUGUGAAAGAGUUUUUCCAGAAACCCCAUUACAUGCAACAGAAAAUAUCCACAUAGAUUUUUGGCGCCACUGUGGAAAAAAAAUCGUCUUAGCAGAUAAGAAGCAUGCUACCUAUUUCCACAGAUUUUGCGCAGCAAUUCCAAGGAAUGGCUGCAAUCAAUAACAUCUACAACAAACUAAUGGUACAUCCACAGCAGAAAUUGGAGGAACAACCUCAGAUUUCAGAUACAAAAAUACACAUCACUGCUUUAACACCCCUUAGUUCCUCCGGGAUGACCAAUUUUGUUCAUAUCCAUUUAGUAAACCCUUUCACAAACCCCCUGAAUUAUAUUUGUGGGUUACAUUUUCUUCCUCCUCACCUUCUAAGACCCAUAACUUUUUUGGUGGGGCAAUAAUGGGGUAAAACUGAAAGGCUAACUUUAUUCUCGGGGCCAAUAAGAUUCCAGUGAUACCAAACUUGGAUAAUUUAUUAUCUGAUUUAUGAGAAAAAAAAAUAGGAAACUUGAAAAAAAAUUGUUUAUUGCCAUGUCCUGACCCCUAUAACUUUUUUGAUUCACCUACAGAGCGGUUCAAGGAUCCAUUUUUGGUCCCCCUUGGGAUCUUUUAUAAGCAAUGAGCCGAUUGCCUGCAUAGAUCAUAGUAAUGCUAUUUCAUAAUACUGAUUGUUCAUUUGGUGAAUGUUAACAUCUGCACUACUUGAUGACAGAGCAAAAUAAAUUAGACCCAUGCAAUGUGGCUCAAGUCCUUCUUUAUCCUGGAACACAAAGCCCUAACAGUGUGAGUAUGAACACGAGGAACAAGUAUUCAGCAGCACAUGGCAUCCAGUAUGACCAGCUGAACAGGCUGAACAUUAUAUUCUGCUGAAAGGGAAAUGAAACACAUGGAAGCAACUUAGUCAGAAUGUUGUUAUUGUUUUUUUUUCUACACAUGACUAUGUCCACCUGAUUAUUCUUAUUUUUGUAAAUACUUUAUUAUAUAACAAAUCUAUCUAUCUA